UACGUAGGGUGCGAGCGUUGUCCGGAAUUACUGGGCGUAAAGAGCUCGUAGGUGGUUUGUCGCGUUGUUCGUGAAAACUCACAGCUUAACUGUGGGCGUGCGGGCGAUACGGGCAGACUAGAGUACUGCAGGGGAGACUGGAAUUCCUGGUGUAGCGGUGGAAUGCGCAGAUAUCAGGAGGAACACCGGUGGCGAAGGCGGGGUCUCUGGGCAGUAACUGACGCUGAGGAGCGAAAGCGUGGGGGAGCGAACAGG
rnacentral:rRNA from 1 species